rnacentral:rRNA from 1 species
AUGGAUUGGGAUCUAUUUUCCGGUGGAUGGCCGCCGCCUACAGCUUGUUUCGUGCGCAGGAAGCGCCCACGUCUCGGCGCCGUGGCCCCGCAGCUCUACCGCGUGACUUCUCUUUCAGCGGAUGGAUCUUUUAUGGAGGCGGAUGGAACGGCGGCGGCAGGAUUUAUACUCCGGAGACAUGAUGGAUCGGUUGUUUUUGCUGCUUAUCGGUUCUUGUUUAACUGCAAUGAGGCUCUUGAGGCGGAGAUACAUGUGUUAAUGAUCGGCAUGGCGCUCGUCCGUCAGCAUACCGAGUUACCUAUUCUGGUGCAACCUGACUCUUCGACUGCUCUUUCUUGUCUCUCCGGGUCAAGUUUGAUUAGUUCGGUUUAUGGUCAUUUAGUUGCUGAGAUCAAGUCUUUAAUGAGGUACAAGAGGGACCACCCAUUUGCCCAGCUAUCUGGUUCCGACAACAUCAUCGCCUUCACCACUUCGAGGUACAAGGAGCAGCCGCUGAUCGUGCGAGGGCCGGGUGCAGGCGCGGAGGUGACUGCCGGAGGCGUCUUCUGCAACAUCCUGCGGCUGGCGUCCUACCUCGGCGCCCCCUCAUAG